AGACGAACACCCGAAAGAUGUCCCAGUCCUCUUCUUCCACAGGAUAAUUCAGAAGAACAUUACUAUGUCCCACAGGAUGAUCAGGUAGAUGGAUAUAAGGGCAUCCUGAUGGAGGAUCACCGGCCCCUCACAUCACCAGGUAAGAAAGAGAGAAGAACACAGGAGAGAUGUCCCAGUCCUCUUCUUCCACAGGAUGGUUCAGAAGAGCAUCACAAUGUCCCACAGGAUGAUCAGCUUGUGAAUCCGGGUGAAGAACUGAACAAUAUUAAUCCUACAGAGACAUAUGUGAGG